UUUAAUUUAUGUAUGUUUUAAAGCAAAUUUGAAUCAUUAUAUUUAAUUUUAAUUAAGAGUUGAAUAAAAGUAAAAUUUCAUAUAAUCCUUGAAGGGGAAAAAUAUACACUAUACACUGCAACCAAACGUAAUUGUAGUGGAAUUGGUACAAGUCCAGGAAUGAAACAGUUGGGCCGAGCUGAAUGGGCCAAGGGAGCUAAGAGUUUAUUCAAGAAGAAAACAUGUGAGGGAAUUGUCACAUUGCAGGUGAGAAGAGAAGAUUCUAAGGCAGGAAUUAUAACAGAACAGUGACACA
rnacentral:lncRNA from 1 species